UACCAGCACCCCGAGUGGUCGGGACGAUUAUUGGGCCUAAAGCAUCCGUAGCCGGCCUUACAAGUCCCCCGUUAAAUCCAACUGCUUAACAGAUGGGCUGCGGAGGAUACUAUAAGACUAGGAGGCAGGAGAGGCAAGCGGUACUCAGGUGGGUAGGGGUAAAAUCCGUUGAUCCAUUGAAGACCACCAGUGGCGAAGGCGGCUUGCUAGAAUGCGCGUCGACGGUGAGGGAUGAAAGCUGGGGGAGC
rnacentral:rRNA from 1 species